GUGGAGAUUAUAACAGAACAUGGCCAAGAUGUUCAAAUGUUCAUAAAUGACCAGCAUGGUCGAAUAAUAAUAAGGCAGAACAGUUGAAACUGGAGCAGCAGCACAGUCAGGUGGAAGUUGAAACUGGAGCAGCAGCAUGGCCAGGUAGACUGGGGACAGCAAGGAGUCAUCAUGUCAGGUAGUCCUGGAGCUCAGGUCCUAGGGCUCAGGUCCUCCGAGAGAGAGAAAGAAAGAGAGAAGGAGAGAAUCAGAGAACGCACACUUAGAUUCACACAGGACACCGAAUAGGACAGGAGAAGUACUCCAGAUAUAACAAACUGACCCCAGCCCCCCGACACAUAAACUACUGCAGCAUAAAUACUGGAGGCUGAGACAGGAGGGGUCAGGAGACACUGUGGCCCCAUCCGAGGUCACCCCCGGACAGGGCCAAACAGGAAGGAUAUAACCCCACCCACUUUGCCAAAGCACAGCCCCCACACCACUAGAGGGAUAUCUUCAACCACCAACUUACCAU
ensembl:lncRNA